UCGUUAAGUAAUUCAUAACUUAUCAUGAUAUUAAUAAUCAUGAAUAUUGAUAUAAAAGUAAAAAAUAUUAGACAAAUUGCAUUUUUAUUUCCAUAUGUUAGAAUAUAUUUUUUAUUUUAAGUGAUUUCAUUAUUCUUUCAUUAUUUUAACUGUUUCAAAAAAAUAAUAAAGUUUUCUUUAACAAAUGCUUGAUAAAAAAAAGGUAAAGUAUUAUAUAUUUUUUUAUUCAAUUCUUUUUGUUAUUAUAACUUUUCUUUCAGAGAAUUGUAAUCGCGCGCAAUGCGAUUAGUAAAUUCAGUGUUUGCUUCGUAAUAGUAUUUUUUAUUUUUAAAAGUGUGACAAUUCAGAGUGAAUUUAAUUUAUAUAAAAUAACAUAUAUAAUAUUUACACGCGAAAUUAGAGUCAGUGUUUGUUUGCCGAUAACACAAUAUAGUAUAUUAACGAAUAAUAAUAGUAACUUAUUUUUAUUUUUUUAUUUAAAAUAUUCAUUUUCGGUAGAGUCAGUGCUUCUCUUAGAAUAUGAAGGCGAUUAUUCAUCACAUGAUGAGAUAUUUCUCAAACGACGACUUGACAUGAAUCAGGACAACUAAUGGCAACGCAGAUUCUUCGCAUCAAUUGGUGAGUCGCAUGCAUUUUUGUUCCUCUGGUUAUUCAAUCAUGUCGCAGGAUGAAAGAUCCGAACCGACACG